AGGAUUCAUAUUAACACUAUCUGUUUGAGCUGUGUGUGAGCACCUCCUUUGAAACUGAUCACAACUUCCACCUUUCUAAGUCAAUAAUGUUUUAACUGCCCAUUUGUGCUCCACUCUGUACCCCCAGCUGCUGCUUCAGGCAAUUCUUGGUUCAGCCCCUCAGUUAUGCUACCUUCUAAUGGGGUUGUACUCACCAUGUUCAUGAGAAGAGCCUUGAGACCUUCAGAGAUGGCGGAAACCAUAGGCAUUCAUUUUUCCUUGGAUGAAACGAGUGGGUGAGGAGAGAGGUCACACCAGGUUGAAUUCAUCGCCUGAGAACAACUGGCGAGUCUGUGUGAGAGAUGCAGGACCGAGGUGUUGCUCCCUGCCUGGGUGCUCUGCCAUGCCACAUCUGUCCAUCUGUCAAGCAUACAGUCCCAUCAAUCAAACAGCUGAAUGCAGGCAAGGGAGCCCCAGCUGCUGCCACACGGAGGGAUAAGAGGAAGAAGAAGAAGGAGAAGAAAUGGCACAGCUAGCACAACUCAUCCCAUUUGGGUCUGACGCAGAAAAGCUGGUUUUGACACUUUGACACGCCGUGCUGGUAAGAAUGCAUAAUCAGCAUCAUGUAUCACACAUCCAAGUCACUGCUUUUGCUC